AUUACUUUAAAAUGAUUUGGAUAUAAAUUUAAUCAACUAUAGUUAGAUUAUUUACUAAUGCAUUUUUUAAAUUAUAGAAAUAUAUUAUGAAAUAUAUUCUUAGCAUUUUGAAUCAUUGAAACAAUAGUUAUAAAUAUUGCGGUUACAAUCCAAUGUGCUCACUUGAAUAUCACAUUUUGUUUGAGGUAAUUUAUAUAUGUUUUGAUUAUUAAAUCAUCAUCUUAAUGAAACAUGUUGUGAGUUAACAGGUUUUUCCGAUCCUUAAUUUUCUGCAAAAAGAAAAUUGUAGUAAUUUCACAUAAGGAUAUCCAAACUGAUUAAGGAAUAGAUCAUAUCAGAUUCCUAGUUCUAAGCAAAAAAUAGAUGUUAGAAGAUCGCAAAUGUUUGAGAAGAUAUUCAUGCGUGAUUUACCAACAAAUAUUAAAGAUUUCCAAUGAAUGCAACAUAAACAUCUUCAUCUCUUCCUCAUUAAUUUUGACGAGUUUUAAUUUUCUAACAUGACCUCUAUCUAAAAUAAAGGAAGAAAAGGAAUAUGAGAUGAGAUGAAUGAUAAAAUGUAAUUUUUAUGUUUAUCAACCUUCUUUAUAGAUGGAUUUCAUGUUUACACAUUUCUCAAUAUUUUGAGACUAAAUGAAAGAAUAUUUUGGGAUAGAAAUAGUUUUAUCAUGAAUAAGAUGAAAAUUGAUAAGAAAAUAUGAUUCAAAGAGAUAAGAAUAACAAUUUUCAAUGAUUUUUGAUUUUUUUAAUUUUUUAAAGAAAUAAUUAAAAAAAAUAAUUAUAUGAGAUGUAAAACUACUUUGGUUGUAAUGAGGGUUGUCCUAAAAGAAAUAAAUUAAUUCUAAAUUAAAAAGAAAUUAACAUCAUGAUAAUCAUACUUAGUUGUGUUUCAAGCAACAAAACCCUUGGAAAUUUGUAAUGUAAUAUCUUGAAUUUUGAUUAAACCAUAAAACUAUAUCCAAGUCUUUCCCUUCCUUGUUUGUCACCCAAGGUUGAGAACAGAGAACUUAUAAAAUUUUAAAUCAAGUUUUAACUAAUUUCUUAUUCAAAAACACAAGAACAUGAAGAAAAAUGCUUUUAAUUGAAUAAAAUUUAGAGAAAUAUAUUUUUCUGUUCAAAGUCUAUCACCCAAUGGGAAGAAAAAAAUGCCAAAUCAAAGCAAAGAUCAUUCAAAACAUAAAGGGAAUGUCAACAACAAGACGAGAAUUUUUCUUCCUUUUUUUCCUGCUCUUCCUUCUUCGAAUCGUCAUCCUUCUUUCUCUAGCCAAGCCCUCAUUUCUAUAUCCUAUUUUCAUCUUUAUCCUCUACACCUGAAAAUCAAGCCU
rnacentral:lncRNA from 1 species